rnacentral:rRNA from 1 species
AUGCUUGCAUCUCUUCUCCUACUUUUUCUGUUCUUAUUAAUGGGCAACCUUUGCAUAAAUUUAAAAGUUCUCGAGGUAUCCGUCAAGGCUGUCCCAUGUCUCCUUAUUUGUUUGUUAUUGCUAUUAAUGAAUUAUCUAUUGCUCUCAAUGAAGCACUCACUGCUAAUCAACUCCAGGGAAUUUCGCUUGGUCCAAAUUGCCCUUUUAUUCAUUCUCUGUUAUUUGCAGAUGAUCUCUUGGUGUGUGGACAAGCUGCCGUUCAGGAAGCAAAUUCUAUAG